rnacentral:pre_miRNA from 1 species
AAGGUGCAAGGGAGAAUAAAUGGAAUCACAAUAGAGUUAUCUUAGGAAAAUUAGAGAUUAUGUUUUAUUUUAUAUUAUAUCUUAAUUAGAAAUCUACUUAUUUUAGGUCUUCAUACAUGAGUUGUAGAUAAUUAUAAUCUCUAAUUUUCCUAAGAUAAUUAUACUGCAAAUCUUCCAUUUAUUCUCCAUCAGAUGCUCCUU